rnacentral:SRP_RNA from 2 species
GCUGGGCGUGGUGGCGGGUGCCUGUAAUCCCAGCUACUCGGGAGGCUGAGACAGGAGAAUUGCUUGAACCCAGGAGGCAGAGGUUCCAGUGAGCUGAGAUUACACUACUGCACUCCAGCCUGGGUGACAGAGUGAGAUUCUGUCUCAA